rnacentral:rRNA from 1 species
GGCGUGCCAAACACAUGCAAGUCGAACGAGAAAGUGGAGCAAUCCAUGAGUACAGUGGCGUACGGGUGAGUAACACGUGACUAACCUACCCUCGAGUGGGGAAUAACUUCGGGAAACCGAGGCUAAUACCGCAUAACAUCUACGGAUCAAAUGCGCAAGCAGCUUGAGGAGGGGGUCGCGGCUGAUUAGCUAGUUGGCGGGGUAACGGCCCACCAAGGCAAUGAUCAGUAGCCGGCCUGAGAGGGCGCACGGCCACACUGGAACUGAAACACGGUCCAGACUCCUACGGGAGGCAGCAGUGGGGAAUUUUGCGCAAUGGGGGAAACCCUGACGCAGCAACGCCGCGUGGAGGAUGAAGCCCCUUGGGGUGUAAACUCCUUUCGAUCGGGACGAUUAUGACGGUACCGGAUGAAGAAGCACCGGCUAACUCUGUGCCAGCAGCCGCGGUAAUACAGAGGGUGCAAGCGUUGUUCGGAAUUAUUGGGCGUAAAGGGUGCGUANGCGGUGCGGUAAGUCUUCUGUGAAACCUCCGGGCUUAACUCGG